rnacentral:rRNA from 1 species
UACGUAGGGUCCGAGCGUUGUCCGGAAUUACUGGGCGUAAAGAGCUCGUAGGUGGUUUGUCGCGUUGUUCGUGAAAACUCACAGCUCAACUGUGGGCGUGCGGGCGAUACGGGCAGACUUGAGUACUGCAGGGGAGACUGGAAUUCCUGGUGUAGCGGUGGAAUGCGCAGAUAUCAGGAGGAACACCGGUGGCGAAGGCAGCUCGCUGGGACGGUACUGACGCUAAGGCGCGAAAGCGUGGGGAGCGAACAGG